CGGGUUCUCUCUCCUUAUUGGCUGAGCGUAGGGUUGAGCGCGUUGCCCAUUGGCGGUGAUCGCGGAGGGGGCGGGCGCGGCGUGCCGGGCAGUGAUUGGUUAAGGGCGGGGCCGGUGGGUGGCUGCGUCAUGACUCCGCCAGCUGAUCCGAGACGGGAGCCGGCGGCGGCGGUGCGGUGCGGCGGGGGGGAGCGGCGGGGCCGGGUCGGGCGGUGGUGGUACCGGGCUGGGCCGCUCCUCGCAGCUGCUGCCCCUCUGCCCGCUCCUGGCUGCCCGGCAGCAGUUCUUCAGUGGCAAGCUUUAUGUCCUUCUCUAGUAGCUAAAGCUGCCAGUUGAAGAACUGUUGAAUGCGGCCACGCUCGUCGCUGCGACGUCGGACGUCAGCUGCAGCCGUGCCCUGAGCCACCGGGAUGAGCGAGCCGGCAGCAUCCCAUGGAUCCGCCCCGAGGGAGCUGAGGAUGAGCCCGGCGGGGAUGAGGAGCCUCCAGGCAAAGCCAGGGCUGUAAAACAGGGAGAGGGUCCCUGCCCCCACGGUGGGGUGGCAUUGAACUGGGACAACUGGAGACAUUAAACUUUGUGUUUUCCUGAACCACUCAUUUGUUGCCUGCGGGGUGGGGGGAUGGUGGUGGCUGUGGACCGUGGGGUGGCAGGGAGGGGUGGCAGCUCUGUCUUACAGGGGUCAGUGGGCAGAGCGUUGUUUUUUGGGUCCAUCUCAGUCGCACCAGGGCUGAGCUGUGCUGUUAGAGGGAUUGGUGCUGCAAAGAGCUGGGUGUUGGGAUGGGGCUGCCUGGGUGGGAUGGGCUGCAGAGCUGCUGACUCAGGGCCGAGUCACGCACAGCCCAGGGAACGGCCGCCCCAUUCUGAGGCCGGUGCUGGGGCAACGCCAGGGCUUCAGGUUUGCUGGGUGCGCUGUGCCGUGUGCCCUCCCUGCUUGAGCUGCUGAUGGCGGCACCGGGAGGGGUUUGGAUCAAGCUUUCUGGGAUCUGUGGUGCUGCUAAUGGGGUAAAACAUCUGUGCGUGGACCCAGCGAGGACAGCUGGGAGGCUCUGCUCUGCUGGAGGCAUCUGGUGCAGGGCACAGGGUGCUGAGUGCCGUGGGUGGGCGGGGAGAGGUGGCCUCGUGCUGGGGGCUGCACAGUUCUGGUUCAAUCUCCCUGUCUGGGUUUAGGGCUGCUCCUGAAUUUCUGCACCUGGUGACGUGUAGAAAGCAGCUCGGUGUCCCUAAACUGGCAGAAGUGGAGUAAAUCUGUUGCGCAGCAUCCUUCAUUCUGAUAAGAACUUGGCGUGCAUUUGCUGAUGGCUGCAGGAAGUGGAGUUGCUUUGGGGUCACUGCUGCCAACUGCAGGGAGUGGGGCCACUGAGGCUCCCCUGGAUUGAUUCCUGCUCAGUGCUGGAUGAUGGGGGAACACCUCUGGCUGCAGUCAGCGCUGUGCUCUCCCAGCCCAGCUGCAGGACUGCGAGUUCCAACAGAACCAGGGGAAAACGAGGGGCACAGAGCAGCUGCAGAGAAUGCAUGGGGCAGGAGGAGGAGCAGCUCCCAGGCGUGGCGGUGCCAGAGCUGUUGGUGUGUGGUAAGGAGCAGCUGUGUGCUCCUUUCACUGCGCCUCUGCCUCUGUGUGUGUCAGCACAUGGGGCGUGCUUGGGGUUGCUGCUUCCUCCUGUCAUUGUGAUGUGCUUCCCCGAGUAAGUUGGGGCAGUUUCAGGGUUGAGUACUGCCCCCACACAGCAGCACUGAGCCCGCAGAGUUCAGGAAUUUCAUUCCAACUUGAAUGUUGGAACGUGCUGGGGCGCAACUUUGAGCGUUUUACGCAGAAACGGCGCGAUGUUAUUUCACCUGCUGAGCAAACAGGCUCAGCUCCGUGCCGAGCGGAAAAGCAGAGGGAUUGAGGCUGACACAGUGUCCCUGUGGGAACUUGCCUGACACUCAGAGCUUACCCUUCCUCCUGCAAAGCGCCAUGUGACCGAGAUUUGUUUCCCCAAGUAUAGAACUUCUGCAAUCAGAGACACCGUGGGGUCACAGUUCAGGCUGGCAGCUGCUGUCACGAUGCCAUCCCUGGAAGAGAAAGCAGAAGGAUGAGGAGCUCCUUGGUGUGGAUAACACAGCAUAGCAGCAUCCUCCUGCUGCCCUGCGGCUGUGGAAAGCUUGGAGCAGACUGGCUGAUGGUGCAGGGGGAUGUGGGGCACCGGGUCUGGGAGCAGUGGGGUGGAGGGAGUGGGGAUGUGUGCCAGGCUCCCUGCGUAGCUGCCCCGUUCUGGUUACGCUGUCGUGCGGCUCCGCUCACUUGAGGUAGAAGAUCAGGAACUUCUGGUGCUCCAAGCUGCCCUUCAGAACAGUGUCUGUGUAGCCCUUCCCACAGCCUGCAAAAGAUGAUUGCGGGGUCAGGGAGCCCCAGUACAGCAGUGCCACCCACCCCACUUCAGUGCCACCUGGAGUGCAGGAAGAAGGAGACGGGACGUGGCUCU